GCAAGGUUUUUCCAAUUUCAUUUGGCAACUGAUUUGCAUUCAUUUGCGUUAUAUCGGCAGGCAGCUGCCACGUUUUAUAAUCCAGGAAGUUGUACAAGAAGUCCCUGGUCCCUGACUGAUGUAGCUGCUCUGGGCUCUGGGGUGUGAGCUCUUUUUUUUUUUUUUUUGAGACAGAGUCUUGCUCUGUCUCCCAGGCUGGCUUGCAGUGGUGCGAUCUUGGCUCGCUGCAAACUCCGCCUCCCGGGUUCUCGCCAUUCUCCCGAGCAGCCGGGCUGUGAGCUUCUAAGAGGGGACAGAAGAUCAAGUAGGGCCAGUCUUAAAAGAGGGCAGGUUAUUAAAGAAUAGAUUAUUUGUUUCCAUCUGGAACCAUGUAACCACAUCGAUGCAGACAACAGUCAGGAACAUGUGCCUUCUGUGCUUGGUCCCUGGAUGCACCCGAUGGGAGGGCGUUGCCAAGCACAUCGUCAGAGUUAUUGUCAGGACCAGCAAGCUCCUGAGUGUGACUGAAAAUAAUCUCAUUUCUCCUCUGUGAUUUUGGACAAAUCCUUUUUUUUCUCUGGCCUCCUGUGUAAUGUUUUAAGUUCAGUCCUGCUCUAGCAUCUCAAUAUUCCAGCAUCUCUCUACAAAACCUCGUGGGCUGCCAGCUUUGACCCAGGCCACAGUAACCUGAUCCCAGGUUAGGGAUGUGGGCCAAAGAGGAGCAUUGCCAUGAUGAAGAUAACCUUCAGGCCUGCAGCCCAUGGCCACACAUCACCAUAUGUGGCAGGGGACGUGGGAGAACAUAUGGGAGCUGUGACAUGGCCAUUCUGGGUAUUUGCUUCUACAAAGAGCCAAGGGGAUGAUCAGAAACACUUCAUCUGGUACAGUCUGAAUGGACUGCAAGUAAUUCAGAAAAGUUUACUGGGAGGGUCUGGGGAAUUCAGACAGACAUUCUGUGGUCACUGGACAGAAAAGGACACAGGUUCAGACACGUGGAGUGGCUCGCCUGUGGUAGCACAGCAGAGUAUUGAAACCAGAUCCUGGGGCUUCCAACUUUCAGCCCAGACCCCGUCUAUUUGAGGACUGGCUCCAGCCCUGCCACUGUCUCCUUGUGCAGAAGUUUUCUCCUUUCUUUGAGCCUCACUCUCUCCAUCUGCAAAAUAAAGUGCUUGGACU
rnacentral:lncRNA from 1 species